rnacentral:rRNA from 1 species
GACGGGGACCCGCACAAGCGGUGGAUGAUGUGGUUUAAUUCGAUGCAACGCGAAAAACCUUACCCACCUUUGACAUGUACGGAAGUUGCCAGAGAUGGCUUCGUGCUCGCAAGAGAACCGUAACACAGGUGCUGCAUGGCUGUCGUCAGCUCGUGUCGUGAGAUGUUGGGUUAAGUCCCGCAACGAGCGCAACCCUUGCCAUUAGUUGCUACGAAAGGGCACUCUAAUGGGACUGCCGGUGACAAACCGGAGGAAGGUGGGGAUGACGUCAAGUCCUCAUGGCCCUUAUAGGUGGGGCUACACACGUCAUACAAUGGCUGGUACAAAGGGUUGCCAACCCGCGAGGGGGAGCCAAUCCCACAAAGCCAGUCGUAGUCCGGAUUGCAGUCUGCAACUCGACUGCAUGAAGUCGGAAUCGCUAGUAAUCGUGGAUCAGCAUGUCACGGUGAAUACGUUCCCGGGUCUUGUACACACCGCCCGUCACACCAUGGGAGCGGGUUCCGCCAGAAGUGGUUAGCCUAACCGUAAGGAGGGCGAUCACCACGGCGGGGUUCGUGACUGGGGUGAAGUCGUAACAAGGUAGCCGUA